rnacentral:rRNA from 1 species
AGGACGAACGCUGGCGGCGUGCUUAACACAUGCAAGUCGAGCGGUAAGGCCCUUCGGGGUACACGAGCGGCGAACGGGUGAGUAACACGUGGGUGAUCUGCCCUGCACUCUGGGAUAAGCCUGGGAAACUGGGUCUAAUACUGGAUAUGACCUGUCCUCGCAUGGGGGUGGGUGGAAAGAUUUAUCGGUGCAGGAUGGGCCCGCGGCCUAUCAGCUUGUUGGUGGGGUAAUGGCCCACCAAGGCGACGACGGGUAGCCGACCUGAGAGGGUGACCGGCCACACUGGGACUGAGACACGGCCCAGACUCCUACGGGAGGCAGCAGUGGGGAAUAUUGCACAAUGGGCGAAAGCCUGAUGCAGCGACGCCGCGUGAGGAUGAAGGCCUUCGGGUUGUAAACCUCUUUCAGCAGGACGAAGCGAGAGUGACGGUACCUGCAGAAGAAGCGACCGGCUAACUACGUGACCAGCAGCCGAC